rnacentral:rRNA from 1 species
UACGUAGGGGGCAAGCGUUGUCCGGAAUCAUUGGGCGUAAAGCGCGUGUAGGCGGCCAGAAAAGUCCGCUGUGAAAACUCGAGGCUCAACUUCGAGCUGUCGGUGGAAACUUUCUGGCUAGAGUCCGGAAGAGGAGAAUGGAAUUCCUGGUGUAGCGGUGAAAUGCGCAGAUAUCAGGAAGAACACCCGUGGCGAAGGCGGUUCUCUGGGACGGUACUGACGCUGAGGCGCGAAAGCCAGGGUAGCGAACGGG